rnacentral:rRNA from 1 species
GUUGUCCGGAUUUAUUGGGCGUUAAAGCGAGCGCAGGCGGUUUUUUAAGUCUGUAUGUGAAAGCCUUCGGCUCAACCGAAGGAGUGCAUCGGAAACUGGGAAACUUGAGUGCAGAAGAGGACAGUGGAACUCCAUGUGUAGCGGUGAAAUGCGUAGAUAUAUGGAAGAACACCAGUGGCGAAGGCGGCUGUCUAGUCUGUAACUGACGCUGAGGCUCGAAAGCAUGGGUAGC